ensembl:misc_RNA Metazoa_SRP Metazoan signal recognition particle RNA
GCUGGGCACGGUGGCUCAUGCCUGUAAUCCCAGUACUUUGGGAAGCCGAGGUGGGAGGAUCACUUGAGCCCAGGAGUUUGAGGUUAGCCUGGGCAACAUAGUGAGACCCUGUCUCUA